rnacentral:rRNA from 1 species
AUUGAACGCUGGCGGCAUGCCUUACACAUGCAAGUCGAACGGCAGCACGGGAGCAAUCCUGGUGGCGAGUGGCGAACGGGUGAGUAAUAUAUCGGAACGUGCCCAGUCGUGGGGAUAACGUAGCGAAAGCUACGCUAAUACCGCAUACGAUCUAUGGAUGAAAGCGGGGGAUCGCAAGACCUCGCGCGAUUGGAGCGGCCGAUAUCAGAUUAGGUAGUUGGUGAGGUAAAGGCUCGCCAAGCCGACGAUCUGUAGCUGGUCUGAGAGGACGGACCAGCCACACUGGGACUGAGACACGGCCCAGACUCCUACGGGAGGCAGCAGUGGGGGAAUUUUUGGGACAAUGGGCGCAAGCCUGAUCCAGCAAUGCCGCGUGCAGGAUGAAGGCCU